rnacentral:misc_RNA from 1 species
AGGGCUCGUAGUCCAUAGCCAGCUCUUAAUCUGUAACUUGAAGAACCGAAUAGAAUAGAGUGAAACCAAGAAUAUAUGAAAUCAAAUUGAACUCAAAACCAAACAGAAAACGAAAGGACCAAAGCAGCGGCGACUGCUACAGCGGCGGCGUGUGGAUUGCAAGAUUAAGGGUUAGGGUUUUACAAGUUCGCAGAUCAAUUGGGGGCAAAUGUGAGGUGGAAGAAGGGAGAGUAUGA